rnacentral:rRNA from 1 species
GUCUUUAAGAUUUUAAUUUAAAGUCUAAUCUGCCCACUGAAUUUUUUAAAUGGCUGCAGAAUUUUUUACUGUACUAAGGUAGCAUAAUAAUUUGUUUUUUAAUUAAAAACUAGAAUGAAAGAUUUAAUGAAAUAUAAACUGUUUCAAUUAAAUUAAAUAUUAAAUUUUUUUCUUAAGUAAAAAAACUUAAAUAAAUUUUAAAGACGACAAGACCCUAUAGAAUUUUAUUUAUAAUUUUUUAUUUUACAAAAUUAUAAAUUUUAUUGGGGUAAUAAAAAAAUUAAAUUAAUUUUUUCUAAAAAAAACAAUUUUAUUGAAUAUAAAAUCUUAAAUUUUAAAUUAAAAAAAUUAAUUACCUUAGGGAUAACAGCAUAAUUUUUUUUAAAAGAUCAUAUUUAUAAAAAAGUUUAU